rnacentral:rRNA from 1 species
CAAUAGCGUAUAUUUAAGUUGCUGCAGUUAAAAGGCUCGUAGUUGGAUUUCGGGUGGGAAUGGCCGGUCCGCCGUUUCGGUGUGCACUUGCUACGCCCACCUUGCUGCCGGGGACGUGCUCUUGAGUUCACGCUCGGGACACGGAGUCGGCGAGGUUACUUUGAGUAAAUUAGAGUGUUCAAAGCAGGCCUACGCUCUGAAUACAUUAGCAUGGAAUAACACGAUAGGACUCUGGCCUAUCUUGUUGGUCUGUAGGACCGGAGUAAUGAUUAAGAGGGACAGUCGGGGGCAUUCGUAUUUCAUUGUCAGAGGUGAAAUUCUUGGAUCUAUGAAAGACGAACUACUGCGAAAGCAUUUGCCAAGGAUGUUUUCAUUAA